AGCCUAAGCCGAAGCUUAAGCCUAAGCCUAAUCCUAAGCCAAAGUCUAAUUCUAGGCUUAAGCCUAAGCCUAAGCCUA
ensembl:ncRNA K10C9.11 ncRNA